rnacentral:rRNA from 1 species
AGCCUACGGGAGGCAGCAGUGGGGAAUAUUGCACAAUGGGCGCAAGCCUGAUGCAGCGACGCCGCGUGCGGGAGGGAGGCCUUCGGGUUGUAAACCGCUUUUGUUCAAGGGCAAGGCACGGUCUUUGGCCGUGUUGAGUGGAUUGUUCGAAUAAGCACCGGCUAACUACGUGACAGCAGCCGCGGUAAUACGUAGGGUGCAAGCGUUAUCCGGAUGUAUUGGGCGUAAAGGACUCGAAGGCGGUGCGU